GUGAAUAUAGCGCAUCUCUUCGGAGGAGCGUGACCUCCACUUUCAACUCUGUGCAUUUUUUUGGCGAGGGGAACGAGACGAAGCGACGCAAGUUGCAGACUCUCGCCUCUUGCGGCUCAUUUUAAACACUAGUUAAAGUAUGUAACGAAAUAUCGAAACAAAAAAAA
rnacentral:misc_RNA from 1 species